rnacentral:rRNA from 1 species
AACGAACGCUGGCGGCAGGCCUAACACAUGCAAGUCGAGCGAAGCCUUCGGGCUUAGCGGCGGACGGGUGAGUAACGCGUGGGAACGUGCCCUUUGGUACGGAAUAGCCCCGGGAAACUGGGAGUAAUACCGUAUGUGGUCGAGAGACGAAAGAUUUAUCGCCAAAGGAUCGGCCCGCGUUGGAUUAGGUAGUUGGUGGGGUAAUGGCCUACCAAGCCGACGAUCCAUAGCUGGUUUGAGAGGAUGAUCAGCCACACUGGGACUGAGACACGGCCCAGACUCCUACGGGAGGCAGCAGUGAGGAAUCUUAGACAAUGGGGGAAACCCUGAUCUAGCCAUGCCGCGUGAUCGAUGAAGGCCUUAGGGUUGUAAAGAUCUUUCAGUGGGGAAGAUAAUGACUGUACCCUCAGAAGAAGCCCCGGCUAACUCCGUGCCAGCAGCCGCGGUAAAAC